UGGCGGACGGGUGAGUAAUGUCUGGGGAAACUGCCUGAUGGAGGGGGGUAACUACUGGAAACGGUAGCUAAUACCGCAUAACGUCGCAAGACCAAAGAGGGGGACCUUCGGGCCUCUUGCCAUCGGAUGUGCCCAGAUGGGAUUAGCUAGUAGGUGGGGUAACGGCUCACCUAGGCGACGAUCCCUAGCUGGUCUGAGAGGAUGACCAGCCACACUGGAACUGAGACACGGUCCAG
rnacentral:rRNA from 1 species